AGAGUUUGAUCCUGGCUCAGAGUGAACGCUGGCGGCGUGGAUUAGGCAUGCAAGUCGAGCGAUCUUUUUAUGUAGACUAUUGAUUUCCGGUUCGCCGGAAUGAUAUAGAAUUUAUUUCAGGAUAGCGGCAAACAGGUGAGGAACACGUGAGGAAUUUGCCCCAAAGACAGACAUAGCUUCGUGAAAACGUAGGUAAUAUCUGAUAUGGCCAUGAACCGGCAUCGGUUAAUGGUUAAAGGUAGGGAUCGUAAGACCUGCCACUUUGGGAUGACCUCGCGUCCUAUCAGCUUGUUGGUGAGGUAAUGGCUCACCAAGGCGUAUGACGGGUAGCUGGUCUGAGAGGAUGGUCAGCCACACUGGGACUGAGACACUGCCCAGACUCCUACGGGAGGCUGCAGUCGAGAAUCUUUAGCAAUGGACGAAAGUCUGACUAAGCGACGCCGCGUGAGGGAUGAAGGUUUUCGGAUCGUAAACCUCUUUUGUCAGGAAAGAAAUAUCGCUGUCUAAUAUAUGGCGAUUUUGACGGUACCUGACGAAUAAGCCACGGCCAACUCCGUGCAGCAGCCGCGGUAAUACGGAGGUGGCGAGCGUUACUCGGAAUUAUUGGGUGUAAAGGGCAAGUAGGCGGUUUGUUAAGUGAGGGGUGAAAUCUUCCGACUUAAUCGGAAAAUUGCCCUUCAAACUGGCAGACUUGAGGCCGGAAGAGGGAAAUGGAAUUAGCGGUGUAAGGGUGAAAUCUGUAGAUAUCGCUAAGAACACCAGCGGCGAAGGCGAUUUCCUGGUCCGGUUCUGACGCUGAAUUGCGAAAGCUAGGGGAGCAAACAGAAUUAGAUACUCUGGUAGUCCUAGCCGUAAACGAUGAGCACUAGGUGUUGGUCUUUUGAUCAGUGCCGCAGCUAACGCAUUAAGUGCUCCACCUGGGGACUACGGCCGCAAGGCUAAAACUCAAAGGAAUUGACGGGGACCCGCACAAGCGGUGGAACAUGUGGUUUAAUUCGAUGCUACGCGAAGAACCUCACCAGGGUUUGACAUGCAGGGAGUAGUGAACUGAAAGGGGAACUACCCGUAAAGUCGGGAGCCUGCACAGGUGCUGCAUGGCUGUCGUCAGCUCGUGUCGUGAGAUGUUGGGUUAAGUCCCGCAACGAGCGCAACCAUUGCCCCAUGUUGCCCACCCCGUAUAACCACUUGUGGUUUGCGGGGCGCACUCUUGGGGGACUGCCUGGGAUAACCAGGAGGAAGGCGGAGAUGACGUCAAGUCAGUACGGCCUUUAUACCCUGGGCUACACACGUGUUACAAUGGCUGGUACAAAGGGUUGCCAACCCGUGAGGGGGAGCUAAUCUCAAAAACCCAGCCCCAGUUCGGAUUGGAGUCUGCAAUUCGACUCCAUGAAGCCGGAAUCGCUAGUAAUGGGAGAUCAGCUCGCUCCCGUGAAUACGUUCCCGGGUCUUGUACACACCGCCCGUCAAGCGAUGAAAGCUGGAAGUACCCGAAGUCCUAUGUAGGUAGGCCGAAGGUAAAGCCGGUGAUUGGCGCUAAGUCGGAACAAGGUA
rnacentral:rRNA from 1 species